UACAGAGGUCUCAAGCGUUGUUCGGAUUCAUUGGGCGUAAAGGGUGCGUAGGCGGCGCGGUAAGUCGGGUGUGAAAUCUCGGAGCUUAACUCCGAAACUGCAUUCGAUACUGCCGUGCUUGAGGACUGGAGAGGAGACUGGAAUUUACGGUGGAGCGGUGAAAUGCGCAGAUAUCAGGAGGAACACCGGUGGCGAAGGCGGGUCUCUGGGCAGUAACUGACGCUGAGGAGCGAAAGCGUGGGGAGCGAACAGG
rnacentral:rRNA from 1 species